GAUGAUGGAUUGAAGAUUAUGUGUUAUACAGUUUUACAGCUGUAUAUAAAGAUGCUGAAAAAUGGAUGAAGUCCUUGAUAAAUGCGUGACAGAAUGGAAUGAGCAUAGGCUCUGAAACAGUGCAGUCUGGUGCGAUUGUAGUUGUAAAACUUAAUUUUGGGCAAGUUACCUAACCUCUCAGAGUCUUUGUUUCUGUACCUAUGAAAUAAGGAUUAUCCUGUCUAUUUUAUGAGAUUACUGUUAGGAUUAUCUGAGAUGAUAUGUAUAAAAAAUGCUAUGUUGGAGUUCCUAUUGUGGCUCAGGGAGUUAAGAACCCACCUAGUAUCCAUGAAGAUGUAGGUUUCAUUCCCAGCCUUGCUCAGUGGGUUAAGGAUCUGGUGUUGCCAUAAGCUGGGGCAUAGGUCACAACUGUGGCUUGGAUCCCACAUUGCUAUGGCUGUGGAGUAGGCUGGUAGCUGUGGCUCUGAUUCAACCCCUAGCCUAGCCUGGGAACUUCCAUAUGCCCUAAGAUGGAAAAAAAAAUGCUAUGCCAUGCCUGGCACAUGGUAGGUGUUCACAGUAUGUUGAUUUCUUUCUACUUGAGUUUUCCCUGUUCACCAUGAAGCAUUUUAUUGUGGAAUCCCCUGGGACCUUGACCUUGGGGAUCAUGGAACAGCAACUCCAGGAUUGGGAAAACUGGGGAAAUUGGGCCCAUGAUUGCAGGUUUAGGGAUCUAUAAUCCAACUCCAGGGAUAGGGGAGAAUUUCUGAACCGAUUUGUCUUCAGGAUUCUUUCACAUGUGCUUUCAUUGAUUUUUGCAACAUGUCAUGCACUGGCUCAGUCUUUGGAAUAGUCUUCCUUUCUCAUUUGUCCAAAUAAUCUGUCCUUAGUCCCAUUUUCUUAGGGUCCUUCAGAAGUACUUCCUUGUCUUAUAAAUGGCUCCUGAAAUAUGAAUUUCAUCCAGAAGUAGAGUCAGUAGCAUGUCUCUGAUAUAACCUAAGAUAUACAAAGGAAGGCACUGUUUUUGUGAGAAAAUGAUGAUCUUCUGAGUCGAGAAUGUUGUGAAUGCAGGCAAAGGUGAGGUUUCAUCCCUCAGAUGAUGUGGUCUCAAACAAUGAAGAUAAGGAUGCAGUUGGGCACUACAUUUAGGACAUUUUCUAAAACAAGGUACCAGAGGAACUCUUGGCCAAUUGGAAGGGCACCUGUUACCAAUGAGUUGCCUAUUUCAGUCUAGUACCCAUUUGAGCUCUAUUGGCCUCCAGGAUGGUUUGUGGUAGCAAGAAAUGGUUACUCUUGGUGCAUUGGGGGAAAAAAAGAUGAACUAAUCUCAAAAGAUAAAAUGAUAGGAGAAGAAAAAAGUGGAAGCUCUUCCAGGGCAGAGAAUGAGAAUAUUCUUUAAGUGACUAUUCCUCUAAUCCCCUUUGAGAAGGGGAUUCAUCCAUUACAAAGGUCCUCAAAAUGUUUACAGGAGACUCAGGGGAGGGUGGGUAUGUUAUCAAUAACCUAUUUCUUCCCAUUUUUUUUUCUUGAUCCACUUGUGAUUUCCAGGUUGGUCUUGAGUUAUAAGUCUUCAAUUUCCUUUUGUUGGUUUUAUUUUUGAUUUCUUUAUGUUGAGUAAAUUUAAUGCAUCAGAUACUGUGCUAGGUAUUUAAUACAUAUUUCUCUAUUUAAUCCUGACAACUACCCUACAAUGGACAUAUUGUUUUUCCCCACUUUGUAAAUGAUUUGACUUGGAAAGAUUUGCAAGCAGGAUUUUGUUCAUUCACUGCACCAUGGUGGUGGUGGGGAGGGCAGCCUUAAGGCCUUUAACUCAAGAACAAUUCCACUAAUCUUUGGGGGAAUGUCUCUUCACCGAUUAGAUUCUGGUUUUACUUCCUCAUGUUGUACUUUGAUUACUUCUCACCACCAGAACUGCUCAAGUUCUGCUCUAAUUGGGAACUAAUUUGUUUACUCUCAUUAAUUUUAUCUGAGGGAAGCCUUCCUUCCCCUGCUUGUUAAUAAGGACCAUAUUCCUCUAUCAAAUCAUAGAGCCACAAUAGUGCUGGUUUUGUCUUUCAUAAAUUAUUGUUCUAGAUUUUUUUUCUGACUCAUAUUUUCUAUGAGGAACAGGUUGGACUUAGGUAAAAUAUCCCAUCAUGAACCAUGCUAUUAUGUGUUGAAAGAAUCUGUCAGGAAUAGCUUUAAGAUUGUUUAUGGGAGUUCCAAUUGUGGCUCAGUGUAAACAAACUCAACUAGUAUCCAUGAGGAUUCGGGUUCGAUCCCUGGCCCUGCUCAGGUUAAGGAUCCAGCAUUGCUGUGAGCUGUGGUGUAGGUCACAGAUGCAGUUCAGAUCUAGCAUUGCUGUGGCUGUGGCUGUGGCUGUGGCCGGCAGCUGUGCUCUGAUUCGACUCCUAGCCUAAAAAAAAAAAAAAAAAGAUUGCUUAUAAAUAUAAUUGAUCUUGUGUUGGGUCUUUGUGCAUAAAAUCUUGUUGAGCAAUAUUAUCAGUCAGGGUUUGUAAGGAAAGGGAUGGCACAGACAAACUGAAUAACUAAAGAGAAGUUAAGAAAGGGACUGAACUGUGUACAAAAGUAUGAGCAAGGUUGAGGAAAACCUACAAGGUUUGAUCUAGUACCUGGGGAUCAUUGCAGCUCACAAGCCUGAAUGAUCAAAGGAAGUAAGGGUUUGCUGGAAUUCCAGGAGUACAGCUCUCUGAAGAGGGCUGCUGACAUAAGCUAUAGCUUUUGUUUAGGAAAUGAAGCCAAUCCAUGGUGGCCAGGCAGGGAGGGAACUGAGGGAACAGAUAGCCUAACCUUUCUAUCUUCUCAUCCUCUCAUCUCCUGCAAGUGCCUCCCAUGGGCUCAACACUUUCAGGAGUUCGAGGGGAAGAGAGCUUGUUGCUACAGCCCAUACAGUUCAGCCUCCUGGGGGCACAGAGCAGUGGGGAGAAGUAUGGAGCAAGCCUGGAGAUGGCUAAACAGAAGACAUUCGACACAGCUGGGGUGCAAGAUCUGGUCAGUAAUAUUUAUGUUCAACUUGAGCUUUCCACCACAGUGAACAUUCAUGAGAAUGGUCUCCUAACAGGUCAGAUAAUAAUUUCACCCUGUAAAAAAAUGGGACUGUGUUCUGCCUCUGCUGCCUCCGACCCUUCUUUUUAAUUUGUUUCUUAAUGAUUUGAAACAAUUUGUGCAUGAUCUAGUUGCAUAUACCCCUAUUAUGAAAAGUAUAAAAAAAUAUCUUCACUAUGCUGGUGAUAUAAUUUUGUUGUCACUAACCAGAAAUGGCUCCUCUAUCUUACUGGAAAACAGAGUGGCUUGAAUUCAACUUUUCUAAAUCCCAAAUCAUCAUUUUUGGCAGAUAGUAUUUUCAAUCUAAUUGCCUUAUAUCUAAUGAUUAUAUAUAGCCAGCCAACUUUUUCGGCUGCUUAAGGGUACAUAUUGCAACCAUUUUCCUCUGGUGGUUUCACUAGAAAAUUAUACUACUUAAAUGUAGAUAUUUCUCAGGUGCAUUAUUGACAUUUGUUUCUGGGGCCCAGGAGAUUAGUGAAAUCUAUUUUGAAAAUGUUUUUAUGUACCAAGUAUAGCAUCCAUGCCUGCUUAGUAAAUUGUGGUUGAAUGAAAGAGAGGGAAGGAACUUUGUAGCUUUGACUUUUAGCUUUCUUUCCAUGAACUCUUUUUAGGAAAUGGUUUUUAGAAAUGGUCUUGAAACUUUUAGUCUUGCCAGUAGGUCCCCCACUGAAAACUCCCACGUGGGUGGCCAGCUAUUUGGGUCUUAGUUAGAAGCCUUCAUUUACUUUAAAGGAAGUGCAGCUCUCUCUUGCCCGGGUGAUGGUUAAGGUGUCUGGGACUCUCCUUCAUUAGCAAUGCAGAUUUCAUGCAGCUCAUAUGCUUGUCAAAUGUUAACAUUUGGACAUUUCUGCUGCCCCAUGCCUACCAAGGGCUUAAUUAGUCGGAUGAGCAAUUCUGAUGGACAGCUAAAGAAUAUAGAGUUCUUUCAUUAUUCUAGAUCAACACUGUGCAAUGGAACUUUCUGCAAUGAUGGAAAUGUCCUACAGUUUUGUGCUGUACAAUAUAAUAGUCAUGAGCCAUGUGUGGUUAUUAAGCAUUUGAAAUGUGGCUGUUAAGGCUGAAGACUGGCAUUUAAAAAUUUGAUUUAAUUUCAAUCUAAAUAGAUACUUAUACCAGUGGCUACCAUAUUGGGCGGUGCAAUUCUAGAUACUCUAGAUUUUUAUCCCUGGGUUAAGUCAGGUUUUUUAUCCCUUGUUUGGGUUUCAAAAGAAUAGCACUUAAAAUUCAAAUUUCAAAUAGAAUUGCAAAUUUCUAUUGUGUCAUUUAUGGUAGUUUUUAAACAUGUUUUUAUAUUCUUGGACAUCCUUCCAUCAACACAUGGAGAUGAAUUACCCUUCCCUCGAAUGCAGGCUGGCCUUAGUGACUUGCGUCUGGCAAGUAGAAUGUGGAAGAAUUGAUGCCCUGUGACUUUUGAGGCUAGUUCAUGAAAGGCGAUACAGUCUGACUGGCUCUCUUCCUCUCAGCCUGAAUUUCCAUGUAAGGAUUCUGGCUGUUCUCACACUACCCUCCGGGAAGUCACCUAUAGAGACCACCUACAGAUAUCUAAGAGGACCAGCUGUUUUAGCCUCCAGCUUAGAGAAUUGCUUAUCUGACUCCAGUCAGUCCCCAGUAAGAUAAUAAUAAUAAAUGAUCUCUAUGAUUUUAAGUCACUAUUUUGAGGUUGUUGAGCAGCAACAGAUAACUGAACAGUCUUGUAGGAAAUAAUACAAGAAAAAACAGUUCUCCUUCCUGGUACAGUCAUUGUUGGGUUCUUUUGCGGACAAAGUCUACUACAUCAGUUCUCAUGGAUAUUAAUAUUAGGAAGCACUGUACUUUCUUGAGCAGCUAAAAUCUUGUACUUUAAUACCUUUUUGCUU
ensembl:lncRNA